CAGGAAUCCAUUUCCCUUGAAAGGACGUGUACGGAUACCUUGUGUCUCCUGGGAGCAUCUACUGCCAACAUCUCCUACAGAAAGCAGCAAGAAUAUCUCAACUGCUUCUGAAGAAAAAAUGGCAAACCGCAUUUUCCAGUGGAGAACAGCAACAUUUAUAGGAUAUUGAAGAUUUUCUACAGCAUGAAUUUCCAGGUUUAAAAAAAAAAAAAAACAGGAACAAAUGAACUCCCUAAGACUAUCAUUAGUGAUAAUGAAGUUUGCAUCCAGGCAAAACAAACACAGCCAUCUCCUCGAACAGAAAGAAUGGAAAGAACAAGCUAACAGUCUUGGCAACGUGGGAUCUACUGGGUCCAUACAGCCACAGUCAGCCAAUGGUAGAAACAGAGAGGCAGAAGCCUUUCAGAGCCCCUACACAAGGCAUAACAAGGAACUAGGAGGAUGAGAAAAGGUUUUCCUGGCGCUGUCUUUAGCCACAUGAACUGGAGAAAUCUCCCCUGGGAACCAUACUACAAAGAGAGUAAAGAGUCAUCUCUUUGCAAACACAUGGCAUGAAGAUGGAAGGAAUAAAGAUGACAACUGUUGCAUUGCUGGUCCCUCUACAACAAGAUGAAGAGACAUAAUAGCAGGGGCUGCUGAAAGCCAUGCAGUUGAAAAGCAGGGGUCUGAUGUGAAGUGGCAAUUGAAAGGGAAGAACUUAAAAAAUGAAUACACUGAAAUGGGAGUACUAGUUAGUGUAAAACACCAUGUGAGAUAUACCUAUACUCUAUAGUUUGUAUUUUGGUACAACAGGCAAUCCGUGUUUCAAAUCAUAAUACAAAUGGUCAAUAGUAUCAUGGUCAAGUGGCUAGUUUGACAGAACAUAUAUUUUGCUUGUAAUGGCUAAUUCACAGAGUAAGAUAUAUAUCUACAUAAAAAAAACACACACACACACAAACUUCACACCUAAAUAGGAAAAGAGAGAGAGUGAGAGAGAAAAAGAGAAAGGCCUUCCUCAACACUGUAACAGGGGCAAGGUAACUUAUUUCUUCUGCUGUUUGAGACUGUCAACAAGGAAAGAUUUUUAAGGGACCUUAUGGCCAUAAACAACAGAACUCCCUAAAUAAUUUUAGGCAGUACAUGUAGCAAAAGUAUUCAAACAGAAAAUUGAUUUUUUUCAGUUGAUAUUGUCUCUAAAUUCCUGCAGACUCUGUGAAUCCAGCACUGAUGAAAGGAAGAAACUGCAGCUAGGGAGUAGCACAAUAUGGGAGGACUAGAGCUGAUUACAUUGCAUUUCCUUCCCAAAAUGUAGUCCCACAAGUCCUUGGUGAAGACAGAGAUCAAUUUUUUUUAUUUAGUAAGUAUCUGGUGAAGCAAAUUAACUUUUCUGCAGUGUACAACUAUCUAUCUGUUAUGGAGUUAUAGUUUAUGGCAUUCUGCAGCUUGUAAAACUUUGAAAUUUAGAGAUGCACAUGACUGGAUAAGACCCUUAAAUAAUCAUUCUAUAUCUGAUAUCAUAAUUUACAUAACAGACUGGAAAGGAGAUACCAAGAAGCAAUUACUGCUUUCCUGUAUUUAGAAGUCAUAUAAAAAUCUAUACUGACAGAGGUUUCGCCAAAUGAGACAAGUGCUUGAAAAUGUUAACAUUUGACAUUUUAACCAAAAGUUCUGUUUUUUAUCUUGUCAAGUAGAUAAAGAUUUUCUGAUUAUUCUAAGUGGAAACUAUUACUAGUUACUAAGUUUAACAGGAUAUAACUAAGGCCCUGAUCCUGCAACAUUUACUUGCAUGAGUAACCCGUACAUGAGUAGUUCCAGUGAACCAAUGGAGCCACUCUUAUGAGUAAAGGGUUGUAUUACAUUUCACAUCACCACUGAGAAGUGAAAUUUUAUUACUGGGUAUUAAUAAAGCACUUUCAAAGUUUGCUAUGUAUGCACACACAAUCACACAGAACUGGAGUGCACUUUAACAAUUAGUUCUGCAGAAGGUACAGGAUACAGCUGUACUGCCCAGGAGGAGUCCAAUGAAGUAAUCUCCUGAGCUCUUGUUCAACAAGGUAACAGAGAAUACCAACCCCCUACAUGCCUGUGUCAACAGAAUUGUGCCAGAUGAUACAUGGGGAAGAAGAAGGUCCUGUCCGUUCCCCACCCACUACCCAACUGUACCAGGUGUCCUGUUCCUGUUUUCCUCCCGCACCUGUAAUAGAGCUGGAAGAAGGCCAGGCAAGUGCAUUGAGGGGGAGUGUGAAACUUCUCCCGACACCUCUAUGCAGCCAUAGAAGGUAGGACCACGAUCUAGACCACUCAUCUGGCUCAGAAAUAGCAUUUUGUAUUUAUAUUAAAAAUAUUGGUGUAUCAAAGUAUAAAGCUCCGCUUUAAUUUUUUAAUAAAUGUUAUAGAGUCAUGCAAACUGCUUCUGCAGAACUGUAAAAGAAAUUCCAAUAGGGAUUGGACAGCCAUGGAAUUUGGUUCUCUAACAUCCAAAUUCUAUCUAUAAAAACAGAUUAAGAGAGAAUUGCUACUAUAAUGUAAAACUACUAUACCUUGCA